AGAUUUCGAAGCAAAGGAAAAGAUUGAUGACGAAGAGGCAAGAGAGAAAAAUUCAGAAAUAGCAUCGCUCAAAAAAAAUCUCAUUGAUACAGAAGAAAAACUGCGACAGAGAGAAAAGGAAAAAGAACAUCUGAAUGAGUUAUUGGUAGAUUGUGACGCCGAUUUGAAAUACAAAUUAAAG